GCUAAACCGGCCACGAAAGGUGAUACAGAUCUGCCAGCCCCAGCAGUUCAGCUGCAGUCACAGCAGUCCUCUGCUGUGGUAUAUAAUUUUCGGCUGCACCAGUUCCUACUACACUGGCCGUGAAGGGAGAAACUUUUGAGGAUUCCCAGAUGGAUACAGAUCUGCCAUGCACUCCACCACUGCCUGACAGCCUAUCGAGACUGACAAAGCAGAGAUGGGUGGCUGACAAGGAAAAAUAAAACACAACACACACACACAAACUCACACACAUUAUCCACAAUGUAAAUAAGUUGUAAUUACUUGUUUAUUUAAUGUUUGCUCCAAUUUAUUUUAGGUUUGGAGAUAUCUCCUCCUUCACAUCCAUUCUCAAUAUCUACAUAAUUACUCUAAAUAUCUAUCAAAUCAAAGUGUGAUUGAUAAUAUUAUAAGACUAUGGCUUAAUUUGUACAGUUUGAGGAAAUUCUGUGUUCUUUUUUCUGAGUUGAAAAACAUGCCUCCCUC